GAGCUGACUUCACAGCACAUAUACUAAAACUGGAACGAAUAGAGAUUAGCAUGGCCCCUGGGCAAGGAUGACACGCAAAUUCGUGAGGCGGCCCAUAUUUUU
rnacentral:snRNA from 1 species